GUGCUUGCUUCAGCAACACAUAUACUAAAAAUUGGAGUGAUACGGAGAAUAUUAGCAUGGCUCCUGCACAAGGAUGA
ensembl:snRNA U6 U6 spliceosomal RNA